CGAUGCAUGUUCAGUGAAAUCGAGUAGGGCGGGACACGUGUUAUCCUGUCUGAAUAUGGGGGGACCAUCCUCCAAGGCUAAAUACUCCUGACUGACCGAUAGUGAACCAGUACCGUGAGGGAAAGGCGAAAAGAACCCCUGUGAGGGGAGUGAAAUAGAACCUGAAACCGUGUACGUACAAGCAGUAGGAGCACCUUCGUGGUGUGACUGCGUACCUUUUGUAUAAUGGGUCAGCGACUUAUAUUCAGUGGCAAGGUUAACCAUCUAGGGGAGCCGUAGGGAAACCGAGUCUUAACUGGGCGUCAUAGUCUCUGGAUAUAGACCCGAAACCGAGUGAUCUAGCCAUGGGCAGGUUGAAGGUUGAGUAACAUCAACUGGAGGACCGAACCGACUAAUGUUGAAAAAUUAGCGGAUGACUUGUGGCUAGGGGUGAAAGGCCAAUCAAACUCGGAGAUAGCUGGUUCUCCCCGAAAGCUAUUUAGGUAGCGCCUCGGACGAAUACUACUGGGGGUAGAGCACUGUUAAGGCUAGGGGGUCAUCCCGACUUACCAACCCUUUGCAAACUCCGAAUACCAGUAAGUACUAUCCGGGAGACACACGGCGGGUGCUAACGUCCGUCGUGGAGAGGGAAACAACCCAGACCGCCAGCUAAGGUCCCAAAUUACAGCUAAGUGGGAAACGAUGUGGGAAGGCUUAGACAGCUAGGAUGUUGGCUUAGAAGCAGCCAUCAUUUAAAGAAAGCGUAAUAGCUCACUAGUCGAGUCGGCCUGCGCGGAAGAUGUAACGGGGCUAAGUUGUAAACCGAAGCUGCGGCAAUGUUCUUUGAACAUUGGGUAGGGGAGCGUUCUGUAAGCCGUUGAAGGUGUGUUGUAAAGCAUGCUGGAGGUAUCAGAAGUGCGAAUGCUGACAUGAGUAACGACAAGGGGGGUGAAAAACCUCCCCGCCGGAAGACCAAGGGUUCCUGUCCAACGUUAAUCGGGGCAGGGUAAGUCGACCCCUAAGGCGAGGCUGAAAAGCGUAGUCGAUGGGAAACGGGUUAAUAUUCCCGUACUUCUUACAAUUGCGAUGGGGGGACGGAGAAGGCUAGGUGGGCCUGGCGACGGUUGUCCAGGUUCAAGUGCGUAGGCUGAGUGUUUAGGUAAAUCCGGAUACUCUUAAGGCUGAGACACGACGUCGAGCUACUACGGUAGUGAAGUCAUUGAUGCCAUGCUUCCAGGAAAAGCCUCUAAGCUUCAGAUUGUAAGGAAUCGUACCCCAAACCGACACAGGUGGUCGGGUAGAGAAUACCAAGGCGCUUGAGAGAACUCGGGUGAAGGAACUAGGCAAAAUGGUACCGUAACUUCGGGAGAAGGUACGCUCUUGAUGGUGAAGUCCCUUGCGGAUGGAGCUGACGAGAGUCGCAGAUACCAGGUGGCUGCAACUGUUUAUUAAAAACACAGCACUGUGCAAAAUCGUAAGAUGACGUAUACGGUGUGACGCCUGCCCGGUGCCGGAAGGUUAAUUGAUGGGGUUAGCGCAAGCGAAGCUCUUGAUCGAAGCCCCGGUAAACGGCGGCCGUAACUAUAACGGUCCUAAGGUAGCGAAAUUCCUUGUCGGGUAAGUUCCGACCUGCACGAAUGGCGUAAUGAUGGCCACGCUGUCUCCACCCGAGACUCAGUGAAAUUGAAAUCGCUGUGAAGAUGCAGUGUACCCGCGGCUAGACGGAAAGACCCCGUGAACCUUUACUACAGCUUGGCACUGAACAUUGAACCUACAUGUGUAGGAUAGGUGGGAGGCUUUGAAGACGUGACGCCAGUUGCGUUGGAGCCGUCCUUGAAAUACCACCCUUGUAUGUUUGAUGUUCUAACGUUGGCCCCUAAUCGGGGUUGCGGACAGUGCCUGGUGGGUAGUUUGACUGGGGCGGUCUCCUCCCAAAGAGU
rnacentral:rRNA from 1 species